rnacentral:rRNA from 1 species
UGGGGAAUUUUGGACAAUGGGCGAAAGCCUGAUCCAGCAAUGCCGCGUGUGUGAAGAAGGCCUUCGGGUUGUAAAGCACUUUUGUCCGGAAAGAAAUCCUUGGCUCUAAUACAGUCGGGGGAUGACGGUACCGGAAGAAUAAGCACCGGCUAACUACGUGCCAGCAGCCGCGGUAAUACGUAGGGUGCAAGCGUUAAUCGGAAUUACUGGGCGUAAAGCGUGCGCAGGCGGUUUGCUAAGACCGAUGUGAAAUCCCCGGGCUCAACCUGGGAACUGCAUUGGUGACUGGCAGGCUAGAGUAUGGCAGAGGGGGGUAGAAUUCCACGUGUAGCAGUGAAAUGCGUAGAGAUGUGGAGGAAUACCGAUGGCGAAGGCAGCCCCCUGGGCCAAUACUGACGCUCAUGCACGAAAGCGUGGGGAGCAAAACAGGAUUAGAUACCCUGGUAGUCCACGCCCUAAACGAUGUCAACUAGUUGUUGGGGAUUCAUUUCCUUAGUAACGUAGCUAACGCGUGAAGUUGACCGCCUGGGGAGUACGGUCGCAAGAUUAAAACUCAAAUGAAUUA